rnacentral:lncRNA from 1 species
GUGGACUCGGAGAGGAAAACCCACACUCAGAAAGACGCAUUCACAAUGUGGGUGGGCACCAUCCAAUAGGCCACCAGCUGGCUAGAAAAAGCAGGCAGAAGGUGGAAGAAGCAGAGUGGGGGGUCUUCCUGCUUUUGUGUUUCUCCUGUGCUGGAUGCUUCCUGCCUUUAAACAUCAGACCCCAGGUUCUUUGUCCUUUGCACUCUUUGAACUUACACCAGCGGUUUGCAAGGGGCUCUUGGGCCUUUGGCCACAGACUGAAGGCUGCACUGACCAUUUUCCUACUUUUGAGGUUUUGGGACUUGGACUGAGCCGCUACUGGCUUCCUUGCUCUUCAACUUGCAGACAGCCUGUAGUGGGACUUCACCUUGUGAUCAUGCUGCUGACUAACUUAAUGAACUGAACGGAUUAAAAUGGUGCAAGAGAAAAGGGCAUUUUUACACAAAAGGAAGCAUUUUCUGUGUUCCAGUUCAGCUGUUCCAAUGACAUUUGGUGGUGUUAUCAGUGUGAAUUAUACAAGCAAGUUUCUUUAUCCAGACUGACGCAUCAACCAUGAUCUAGCAUUUGCAAGAUGUGUAAUUACUUUGACUUUCAAGAAAACAUCUUCUGAUCUAAGGAACUUCCCAAGAUAUCAAAGCUGGCUGGCUCAGGAAUACUCUCACAGUGAUGGCAGAAGAGCAAAUCUGGAAGUUCAAACACUCAAAUGUGUUGUUGGAUUUCUGCAUGCAUCACAUGGGCUAACAACUGGUCAAAGCAAAUCACAUGGCCAAACUAAAAAUCAAAGGCCUGGAAGGUAGACCCUACUUUUCUAUUAAGAUGAACUGCCUAGUAACAUAGGAAAAGGUGGUGAAACCAUGAAAGAUGAAAAAUACAGGGCUGCAAUGUUAUCUACCUCAUUUAUUUUGAUACUCUAGACCUAAGGGGAGUAGUGGAUUAACACGGGUACUAGUCUCUGGGUGUUGUGCCAUCUGUUGUUGGUUUCCUUAACGAUGACAAACUUAUAAGUAUAUUCUUUCAACUAAAUUCAUUUGAGUAUAAUGUUUUCAAGACAAUGGAUUGAUAUACAGUAGACAUAGCUUAUGUAAACAACCUGUGUAUCAAUCCUGUUGACUUAGGCUUUUACCAAUAGUUGUUUUCUAUCGAACCUUCAUUAAAGCU